rnacentral:rRNA from 1 species
GAGACUCUGUGCGCGUGCAUAUCAAUAAGCGGAGGAAAAGAAACUAACAAGGAUUCCCCUAGUAACGGCGAGUGAAGCGGGAAGAGCUCAAAUUUGAAAUCUUCAAGGUUUGACCUUGACGAAUUGUAGUUUAAAGAAGUGUUUUCGGUUAGAGGAGUAGUAAAAGUUCUUUGGAAUAGGACAUCAUAGAGGGUGAGAAUCCCGUAUUUGACUAUUCUUUCUAGCUUUGUGAUACACUUUCAAAGAGUCGGAUUGUUUGGGAAUGCAGUCCAAAAUGGGUGGUAAAUUUCAUCUAAAGCUAAAUAUUGGCGAGAGACCGAUAGCGAACAAGUACCGUGAGGGAAAGAUGAAAAGAACUUUGAAAAGAGAGUUAAACAGUACGUGAAACUGUCAAAAGGGAAGCGUUUGACACCAGUGUUGUUUUUCCGAAAAUCAAUUACGAAUGUUUUGUUUUUGAGAAGUUAUGACUUCAUCGGCUUGCUUCUUUCUUUACGAAACUUUCUUAAUGCACUUUUCGGUUAACAAGUCAACAUCAAUUUCUUUUGUUGUAAAAGGGUAUGAGGAAGGUGGCUUUCUUUUCGGAGAAAGUGUUUAUAGCCUUGUACCUCUGCAAUCGGAGAGAUUGAGGUCUGCAGCGUAGAUCCUUCGGGGUUAGAUACAUUUGUGCUAAGUUAUAGCUUUUCAUAGACAACUUGUUGACUAUGUUUAGUCUUGUAGCUUACUCGCUUAUGCUAUUUUACCUACGCUUAGGAUGUUGAAGUCAUCGUAUCGCGC